GGGACCGAACCCACUACAUAAUGCUCGUAACAGAGGAGCUGACAUAAAUGUGACUGCCGAAACUAAACAAUUGUUUCUCUUGCAGGCGGCAGGCGGCGGGGGGCGCUGGGUACACGCUUGCGAAAUACGAGCAUUGGGGUUGUAAAGCAGAGCGUAGAAGCUACUGAAAAUUUAGCGACAUGUUGCGGGAAAGUCGACGGCACACGGCGCGGCGGCGUACGUCGCUCGGCGGGCAACACCAAACGAAUCUGAUCACUGACCCAUGAAGCUUGCAGAAAGGAAAUUUUCUUCUUGCGAAGAAAAUACGACAAUAUAAAUAACUCCAUUGGCCCCUACCUACCACUACAUCACCCUAUGACAAAAGAGUUAUCGAAACUUUUUACUGUGGAAUGAAUCGAACAUUCGUAAAUUUAUAUCACAGAGGAAGUUACGAUAGUGGAGUAGGUACUUGGAAAUAUUAUGAAGAAAAAAUGUGAAAAUGAAUAUUCUGCAAACGCCAUAAAUCCACACGCGACGACCGAAGAUUAGGAGCAAGCAAGUGAAGCCAAAACUCGAUAUUGGGUGAAUAAUCGUCUCCACUACCGGCGCGGUAACCGGCCGGAAGCGCCAGAUUUAUACCCGGGCGUACCCGGGCGUACCGGCCUGUGACCGUCAUGCACCCAUUUAUACCCGGCCGCAGCGGCCUGUGAUCGUCGUGUACCCAGUGAUACCCUGGUGUACCGCUACGUCAUAUCCGUGCUGUCGUCGCUCCGCGCUCUUCAUAAAGCACCCGAUAUGCCUUGAGGGCCGCGAUUUAUGGUGUGGAAACGUCACAGGACUCGGUGUUUGGGGAUAAAUCAUAUGUGUUUGUUUUGUGCAUGAGAUGUCUAAAUUUCUCGGAUGUAUGCUUGAACUGACUUUGUAUUUAUGGCGCCGAAGAGAUAAGCUCUGUGGGGUUUCUUAUACAAUUAUCUAUCACAUUAUGAUAUCAACUCAAUUAAAUAAG